rnacentral:rRNA from 1 species
UACGUAGGGCGCAAGCGUUGUCCGGAAUUAUUGGGCGUAAAGAGCUCGUAGGCGGUUUGUCGCGUCUGCUGUGAAAACUCGAGGCUCAACCUCGGGCUUGCAGUGGGUACGGGCAGACUAGAGUGCGGUAGGGGAGACUGGAAUUCCUGGUGUAGCGGUGGAAUGCGCAGAUAUCAGGAGGAACACCGGUGGCGAAGGCGGGUCUCUGGGCCGAUACUGACGCUGAGGAGCGAAAGCGUGGGGAGCGAACAGG